rnacentral:rRNA from 1 species
AAUCAACGCUGGCGGCGUGCCUAACACAUGCAAGUCGAACGAGAAAGUGGGAGCAAUCCCAUGAGUACAGUGGCGAACGGGUGAGUAACACGUGACUAACCUACCUUCCAGUGGGGGAUAACCUCGGGAAACCGGGGCUAAGACCGCAUAACCUCGUGAGGUGAGAAUCCUUGCGAGCAAAGGGGUAAGACGCUGGAUGAGGGGGUCGCGGCCGAUUAGCUAGUUGGCGGGGUAGCGGCCCACCAAGGCGAUGAUCGGUAGCCGGCCUGAGAGGGCGCACGGCCACACUGGAACUGAAACACGGUCCAGACUCCUACGGGAGGCAGCAGUGGGGAAUUUUGCACAAUGGGGGAAACCCUGAUGCAGCAACGCCGCGUGGAGGAUGAAGUCCCUUGGGACGUAAACUCCUUUCGACCGGGACGAUAAUGACGGUACCGGUGGAAGAAGCCCCGGCUAACUCCGUGCCAGCAGCCGCAGUAAGAC